UCCGUAGGGGGCUAGCGUUGUCCGGAAUCAUUGGGCGUAAAGCGCGCGUAGGCGGCCUGAUAAGUCCGGUGUGAAAGCCACAGGCUCAACCUGUGAAUGCCGCUGGAAACUGUCUGGCUAGAGUCCGGGAGGGGCGAGUGGAAUUCCUGGUGUAGCGGUGAAAUGCGCAGAUAUCGGGAGGAACACCAAUGGCGAAGGCAGCUCGCUGGAACGGUACUGACGCUGAGGCGCGAAAGCGUGGGGAGCGAACAGG
rnacentral:rRNA from 1 species